AAACAAAACAGGCUGUUAAGGAGGCUGUCUAACAAACGAAGAAAGUUUUGAGAGUACAAUCAAACAAAAUUAUUCAACGCUGACAAUGAAACUUGCAAUCCUUUUCUUAAUUGUAUGUGCUGUUCCAGCUCUGAAAGCAAUAAGGUGUUAUGUCUGCCGCAAAACGGAUGGUAGUUGCAAAAAUGUCACAGCAGACGAAAAUCUUAAUAUAGUCGCAUGCCCUUAUGGUUUAUCAACCUGUGGAACGGUUUCAAAAUUCGUAAAUGGUCAAAAUAUCACCACCGCAUAUGAUUGUUAUCCACACUGGGAUGAUGCAUGCACUAACAUAAAUGGUGGGAUGGUGUGUUACUGCAAUAAGGACGGUUGCAAUAGUCCUCUUUACAACAAAAUAGGCAGCAUCAAUGGUAGCAAGAACCUAUCUGUGUUAUGUCUUGUGAUUGUCAUCAAUUUUGUUGGCUGAAUUUAUAAAUUUUCGAAUUAUAGUUCUA